rnacentral:rRNA from 1 species
AGAACGAACGCUGGCGGCAUGCCUAAUACAUGCAAGUCGAACGAACUCUUCGGAGUUAGUGGCGCACGGGCGCGUAACGCGUGGGAAUCUGCCCCUUGGUUCGGAAUAACAGUUGGAAACGACUGCUAAUACCGGAUGAUGACGAAAGUCCAAAGAUUUAUCGCCAAGGGAUGUGCCCGCGUAGGAUUAGCUAGUUGGUGAGGUAAAGGCUCACCAAGGCAACGAUCCUUAGCUGGUCUGAGAGGAUGAUCAGCCACACUGGGACUGAGACACGGCCCAGACUCCUACGGGAGGCAGCAGUAGGGAAUAUUGGACAAGUGGGCGAAAGCCUGAUCCAGCAAUGCCGCGUGAGUGAUAGAAGCCGUUAGGGUUAGUAAAGCUUCUUUACCGAGUAUGAUAAUGACAGUAGACGGAAGAACUAACGCCCCGGUAC